AGCAGUCGCCGCGGUAAUACGAAGGGUGCAAGCGUUAAUCGGAAUUACUGGGCGUAAAGCGUGCGUAGGCGGUUUGUUAAGUCUGUUGUGAAAUCCCCGGGCUCAACCUGGGAAUGGCAAUGGAUACUGGCAAGCUAGAGUGUGUCAGAGGAUGGUGGAAUUCCCGGUGUAGCGGUGAAAUGCGUAGAGAUCGGGAGGAACAUCAGUGGCGAAGGCGGCCAUCUGGGACAACACUGACGCUGAGGCACGAAAGCGUGGGGAGCAAACAGGAUUAGAUACCCGAGUAGUCCUGUCUCUUAUACA
rnacentral:rRNA from 1 species